ACGUAAUAGAUACCCCGGUAGUCCACGCCCUAAACGAUGUCUACUAGUUGUUGGUGGAGUAAAAUCCAUGAGUAAACGCAGCUAAACGCGUGAAGUAGACCGCCUGGGGAGUACGGUCGCAAGAUUAAAACUCAAAGGAAUUGACGGGGGCCCGGCACAAGCGGUGGAUUAUGUGGAUUAAUUCGAUGCAACGCGAAAAACCUUACCUGGCCUUGACAUGCCACUAACGAAGCAGAGAUGCAUUAGGUGCCCGUAAGGGAAAGUGGACACAGGUGCUGCAUGGCUGUCGUCAGCUCGUGUCGUGAGAUGUUGGGUUAAAGUCCCGCAACGAGCGCAACCCUUGCCAUUAAUUGCCAUCAUUUAGUUGGGCACUUUAAUGGGACUGCCGGUGACAAACCGGAGGAAGGUGGGGAUGACGUCAAGUCCUCAUGGCCCUUAUGGCCAGGGCUUCACACGUAAUACAAUGGUCGGUACAGAGAGUUGCCAACCCGCGAGGGGUAGCUAAUCUCAGAAAGCCGAUCGUAGUCCGGAUUGUUCUCUGC
rnacentral:rRNA from 1 species